rnacentral:rRNA from 1 species
GAUGAACGCUGGCGGCGUGCCUAAUACAUGCAAGUCGAGCGAACAGACGAGGAGCUUGCUCCUCUGACGUUAGCGGCGGACGGGUGAGUAACACGUGGAUAACCUACCUAUAAGACUGGGAUAACUUCGGGAAACCGGAGCUAAUACCGGAUAAUAUAUUGAACCGCAUGGUUCAAUAGUUAAAGACGGUUUUGCUGUCACUUAUAGAUGGAUCCGCGCCGCAUUAGCUAGUUGGUAAGGUAACGGCUUACCAAGGCAACGAUGCGUAGCCGACCUGAGAGGGUGAUCGGCCACACGGGAACGGAGACACGGUCCAGACUCCUACGGGAGGCAGCAGUAGGGAAUAUUCCGCAAUGGGCGAAAGCCUGACGGAGCAACGCCGCGUGAGUGAUGAAGGUCUUCGGAUCGUAAAACUCUGUUAUUAGGGAAGAACAAAUGUGUAAGUAACUAUGCACGUCUUGACGGUACCUAAUCAGAAAGCCACGGCUAACUACGUG